rnacentral:rRNA from 1 species
CCUACGGGUGGCAGCAGUGAGGAAUAUUGGUCAAUGGCCGGAAGGCUGAACCAGCCAUGCCGCGUGAAGGUCAGUGCCCUAUGGGCGUUAAACUUCUUUUGUGCGGGAGCAAUAUUGGUCACGUGUGGCCCGACGAGAGUACCGUACGAAUAAGCAUCGGCUCAAUCCGUGCCAGCAGCCGCGGUAAUACGGGGGAUGCAAGCGUUAUCCGGAUUUUUUGGGUUUAAAGGGUGCGUAGGCUGGGAGGUUAGUCAGCGUUGAAAUGCUCCGGGUCAACGGGGUGAAGUGCCAUUGAUACUGCCUUGCUGGAAUGCGGAUGCCGUGGGAGGAAUGUGUGGUGUAGCGGUGAAAUGCAUAGAUAUCACACAGAACACCGAUUGCGAAGGCAUCUCACGAAUCCGCGAUUGACGCUGAUGCACGAAAGCGUGGGUAUCAAACAGGAUUAGAUACCCCUGUAGUC